UGCCUGUACCAUAACCGACACAGGUGGGUAAGUAGAGUAUACUAAGGGGCGCGAGAUAACUCUCUCUAAGGAACUCGGCAAAAUAACUCCGUAACUUCGGGAGAAGGAGUGCCUUAUUCUUAAGGUUGCAAUAACAAGAUCCAAGCAACUGUUUAUCAAAAACACAGGUCUCCGCUAAGUCGUAAGACGAUGUAUGGGGGCUGACGCCUGCCCAGUGCCAGAAGGUUAAAGAAGUCGGUUAGCAAUAGCAAAGCUGGUAACUGAAGCCCUGGUGAACGGCGGCCGUAACAAUAACGGUCCUAAGGUAGCGAAAUUCCUUGUCGGGUAAGUUCCGACCCGCACGAAAGGCGUAAUGAUUUGGAUGCUGUCUCGGAGAGGGGCUCGGUGAAAUAGACUUGUCUGUGAAGAUGCGGACUACCUGCACCAGGACAGAAAGACCCUAUGAAGCUUUACUGUAACUUGAAAUUGAAAUUGGACUUUAUUCGCGCAGUAUAGGUGGGAGGCGUUGAUUAUAAUCUUGUGGGAUUAUUGGAGCCAUCAGUGAGAUACCACUCUUGUAAUGUUAGAUUUCUAACUUUGAAUCAUUAUCUGGUCAAAGGACAGUUCCAGGCGGGCAGUUUGACUGGGGCGGUCGCCUCCUAAACGGUAACGGAGGCGUACAAAGGUUUCCUCUGAACGGUUAGAAAUCGUAUCUAGAGUGUAAAGGCAUAAGGAAGCUUGACUGUGAGACCUACAAGUCGAGCAGGGACGAAAGUCGGUCUUAGUGAUCUGACGGUACUGAGUGGAAAGGCCAUCACUCAACGGAUAAAAGUUACUCUAGGAUAACAGGCUGAUCUCCCCCAAGAGUUCACAUCGACGGGGAGGUUUGGCACCUCGAUGUCGGCUCAUCGCAUCCUGGGGCGGUAGUACGUCCCAAGGGUUGGGCUGUUCGCCCAUGAAAGCGGUACGCGAGCUGGGUUCAGAACGUCGUGAGACAGUUCGGUCCAUAUCCGGUGUAGGCGCUAGAAUAUUGAGAGGAGCCUUCUUUAGUACGAGAGGACCGAGAAGGACAUACCUCUGGUGUACCAGUUAUCGUGCCAACGGUAAACGCUGGGUAGCUAUGUAUGGAGUGGAUAACCGCUGAAAGCAUCUAAGUGGGAAGCCCACCUCAAGAUAAGUAUUCUCAUCACGUAAGUGAGUAAGGUCACGGUAAGACUAACCGUUUGAUAGGCAUUAAGUGUAAGUACAGUAAUGUAUGUGCUGAGAUGUCCUAAUAGACCGAGGA
rnacentral:rRNA from 1 species